rnacentral:lncRNA from 1 species
GUAGCACACUGGACCUUUGCAAAGUGCGAGGUUCGAGUGUUCGAUUUGCAUUCCGAACUUUUCCACACUUGGUGGAGGGCCGUCGAUGGUAUACCGGUCUAAAAGUUCGAUCUCGAGAGUUUUGGCAAAUCCUGAGAGUUUUUACUCUCGGGGACCGGUCCCUGGAAUGAGAGACCGGUCCCCCAGUGAACAGUGCUGCGUAGCCGCGAGGCAACCGGUCCCUGGCAAUCGAGACCGGUCCCCGAGCGCGUCUUCGCAGUGAGAGACCGGUCCCGCGCAGGGAGAGACCGGUUCCCGAACGCUGGGUUUUCGGGUUCGCAGCGAGAGACCGGUCCCUGCUGGGGAGAGACCGGUCCCUCUGGGCGAAAACUGCCCAGACCGGGCUGAUGUAAUAUUGAGUUUUUGAGGGGCUUAUCUGGAUUUUGUUACUUUAGAGCCUAUAGAGAGCCCUUCUUCUCUCUCUUUCCCUCAUUUCUCUCAACCCUUGGCAUUUUAGAGAGAGAAGAAGAGAGGGAGAAGAAGAAGAAGAAGAAGAAGAGGAGAGGAGAAGCUUGCUUGGAGGCUUGGAGCAUCACCUUCUUCCUCAUUUCUCACCUUUGGUGGCUUUGCACUUGCGGUUGGAGCUUUGUGAAGGAUCAAACCUCAACCCUACUUGGUUUUGAGCUUGGAUUGGAGCUUCUCUUGAGGUUGGUAGCUUUUAAUCCCCAUUUGAUGCUUGUUUUCCUAGGUUUUCUAGAUGAAACCCUAGAUUUUGGGAUUUAGGGUUUAUUUUGGGGAUUUUGGAUUUGGGACUUCUUGAUCUCAUUUGAAUGGUUUGGAACCUCUAUAUAGGUUAGAUUGGAAGACCUCUACCUUCCAUUUGAGGAUUUAGAGAGGGUUUUCCACUUGAGGUGAGUUUUCCCCAACCCUAGCUUGAGUUGGUUAUUGAUUGAGCUAUUUGCUCUUCGUUUCGUUUGGGUGACCCUAUCUUUGAUGUUUCUAGAGUACUAGGGAGCUUGUGGAUAUCUUCGUUCGGCGAAACGAAGAAGUCGAUUCUUUCGGUGGGUUUGACUUCAUGAAAAUGGGGCAAAAUGGCCCCUAUGCCUUCUAACCCAUUUGUAAAGUAUUUUUGAAUGCAAAUUCAUGCUAAGCAUGAUUUAUAUGAAUGUUAGAACACUUAUCAUGCAUGCCUCAUGUAUCGUAAAAUUUGUACUCCAUAUAGUGGAGCUAUAUGUGUAAAUUGCAUACAUUGUGAAUAGUGCUUUGUUUUGCGAGUUGAGAACAUGUCUCCAUGCUAGAUUGAGUGAACUAUGCAUCAUGAACAUAUUAAUGCCAUGCUUGAGACUCAUAGCACAAAAGUGUCAUAAAGAGGCACUUGGAAUUAGCAAACUAUAAAAUGCCACUUAGAGACAUGAUGAUAGGCCAUUGUACAUCUGCUAUAUAUACCAUGUUAGAGACAUGAUGACAUAGAGAUAGGCCUUUGGGACUUUCGAUACAUUUCAUGUUAUUAGACAUGAGGACUUGGUACUUGCGACAGAUCGUUUGACUACUUGCCAUUGUGCUCAUUCGCACAUGCUUGUGAGGGUCGCUCCCUACAAGCCGGCACUCCGGAGAUAGCCAUCGCGAUUCAUAUUCGCCGUGCGGGAUUGGGCGCCGAAGUGGAUUGCCGUGGGACAGGCUCAUUCCUAGGGUGGGGAUGAUGACUACCACGGGGCCAUUAGGCUCGGCACCGGCCAGACAGCCUACGGGUGGGUCUCAGGGCCAUAGACAGCCUUCGGGUGGGUCUCUUCAGAUUUGAUUUGAGUAUUCGUCAUGACAUAUGGACAGAUAAUGACUUAGAGCAUUACUUGGACACUGACUAGAAUAGUAAACCACGGAACUUUACUAUUUCGCAUUGUGAACAUUUUGUUUAGUUGGAGGCCUCUACUUCAUGCAUAGUUGAUUUCGUACUUAUGCUAUUUAUACUAAGUAGAAUUAUCAUGUAGCAGUAAGUUACCAUUUUACUUGCCUUUCGCUUUCCUACAUGUAUAGUCACUGACAUCUUUUGUAGCUUUGGGCCUUGUGGUGCAUUCACUGAAGUCAGUAAUUGCCCACUGGGAACUAUUUUUAAUAGUUCUCAUGCCCCCGUUUUGUGGUUUACUUUUCAGAGCCUUCGGCACCGGCGGAGGCACGGGAUCGCGGCAAGGGUGUCGCGUAGCUAGCUCGCGGAGAGUUCUUUUGCGAUAGGUGGUUACUCCUCUAUUUUAUAUUAUGUGAGAGAGGGAGAGAUUUUGUACAUUGUAUAGAGAGACCACCUUGUACUCCUUUUAGCACUUGUUAUGGGAUUCCUGUUGUAUUUACUUUAUGCUUUAUUUAGUGGAUUUGCAGCUUCACCCUUGCUUCUUGUUGUAGCAUUUAGAUAUUCUUUAUACUCUGAUACUCUUAGAUGCCUUUUGUUAUUGCUUUAUUAUUGUUGUUUUUAGACGCCUUAUACGUUUUAGACGUAUGGCGGGUCUGGGCACGUGCCGGGCGGGCUUCCGCUGGGUCCCGGGGCGUGACAGUCUGUUCGCUUGGUGGUGGUCGCUCCACCCAAGUAGUGAUUUUCGGAGUACUUCACGGUAGGGGUUAACGUAGCUACCCCGCAGACGGUCCCGGGUGAGUGUUUAGCCGACGUCUCCUCACCUGUUGGAUUUGGUUGUGAGUCGGGGCUUAACCUUCGGGUUAGCCGGAAUGAUUGGGUUAUGAGAUAUGGAUGGCAUGCAUCAUGAGCAUAGUAGUUGCUAGUACAUGUUUAUUGUACCCGUUUCUUAUAUCAUAUUGCCAAGGCAUAGUAGCAUGCUAAAUGUUUAUUAUAUUGCUAACCCUUCUACUUAUGCCUGCUUAGACCUAGCGGAAAAAUUGGCAGGGUCGGCAGUCGAACCCACUGGGAACUUUUGUUAGCUCUCAUCCCACUUUGUUGCAGGGCCUAGCACGAGCGGACCGGUCGAGGAUCGCGGUAAGGUUAUUGUAACAUAUCACAUCCCUGACGAGUUAUACCGAACUUCCGUCAAAUUGACCAAAGUGUGGUGGCGGACGUGUUAGAAUGGUCCGUUGGCCAUUCCGAAUGUUUCAGAAUGUGUAAAAUGGGUGUUUGGAUAUGGGAGAGCAAGCUGGAAAAUUUUUAGCUCGUUUUAUACUGAAAAUGCUCUCGGGGUCCGGACCCCAUACACGAAAUUUCGUGGGAUGGUUGGCCCUGUAGUAUGAGGGGGUUGGAUGCAAUUGUGUGUGUGUGUGAGUGUUUAUAAGUGGAGGCUUGGUGGUUUUGCUCUCAUUUCCCUCACACCACUACCAAAGAGAAGUCUCUCUUUCUCUCUCUAAAACCCUUCACUCUCUCCCUCUCUUUUCUUCUCUUACUAGGGUUUGAUCCAAAAGAGAAGGUUGGUGGAGAAGAAGGCUUGCUAGAGGUGAAGCUUGGUUUGUGCAAGGGGUUUUGGAGAAAGCUUGGACUCAAGGUGAGUUUUGGGGGCUUUAAGCUAGGGUUUGGUUGUGUUUCCUUCUAGUAAGUGUUUCUAGAAGUUGUAAUGGUGGAUUGGUUCUUGAAUAUCCAUGAUUUAGUGGGUAUUUGAAAAUAGUGGAAACCCUAGGGUUCAUAUUAGGGUUUUGGAAAUUAUGAGGUCUAAGUUGGGAUUGAUCUCUUGUAGCCCUAAUUGGUGGAUAGUCUGACGCGUUUGAAGACUCAGAUUGGAGUUCCGACGGAUCUACGUUGAGAUUUUAGAGAAAAACCUCUUUUCGGCUUCGUUUGCCGAGGGUCACAGAAAUAGGUUGCAAGGUGCCGAACUUCUAAAAUUAUGAAGAUCCGGUGUAUGUUGGUUUGGAAAGCCAUUUGAAUGGCUCCGGUGAGGUUCCGGUGAAAUUCAGAAGCAUUCGGGCGUUUUCGGAGCGCGUAGGCGCGAAAACGGUACCCGAAAGCUAUGUUGGACCAUGAACUUAAUCCGACAUUAACGUAGAUGAAAAGAUGAUGAAAACACGCUCGAAAACAUGUUUUAGGAGUCUCGGUGCAAUUUGAGACGAAUCGGAGACUCACGGAGCGAAAACGAGCGAAAACGGACCAAAAUUGGCGAAAAUGUUGAAAUUUUGGCUAAGUUUGAAAAUGCUGAUUUUCUGGACCUAUGGGGUCCGGACUGUAAUGUACCGAAAAUUCGGAAAAUAAAUAUCGAACUUUAGUCAAGUUGACCAAAGUGCGAGGAUGGUACACUUCGGAAAGUCCGAAGGUGUUAAAAUGAUCAAAAGUGAGUUACGGGAGGUUUUCGAGAGCUAAGGGAUCAAAUUCUGCAAAACUGCAGAUUUUGAGCUCUCGGGGACCGAUCCCUGGUGGGAGAGACCGGUCCCCGAACGCGUAUGGAAUGAGACAGCCGAAAAAUCGGCUAAGUCCUGAGAAAUCAGCUCUCGGGAACCGGUCCCUGCCUGAGAGACCGGUCCCCGAGAGACCGGUCCCACCAGAGAGAGACCGGUCGCAUUGCGCGCAGCAGCUUUGGCUGCGUUGGGAGAGCUCUCGGAGACCGGUCCCUAGUCGGGGAGACCGGUCCCCGAGCCCGAAAUCUGCCCAGUUCGGGCAGUGUAUUUAAGUGAAAGAUGAGGGGUUUAUUAGCAUUUUUGCAGCCCAAUGGUUAUGUAUGAGGGACAUGAGGGCUUUUCUCUCAUUUCACUCCCUCUCCCACUCUCAUCUCUCUUUCUCUCUCUAGAAAACAAAGAAGGAGAAGAAAAAGAGAAGGAAAAGAAGGAAAAGAAGAAGAAGGAAGUGGAGAAGAAGCUAUUGGAGUGAAGCAACUUUAUCUUUUUCCUCUCGAGGGCAAGAAAGGAGCAAGCUUAGAGGUAAGCUUUGCCUCUUCUCAUGUUAAACUCCAAACUAGGGUUUGGAUUAGAGCAAAGAUGGGUUUUACGGAACUAUUUGAGUAUUUGAACCUUUUCUUUUGCUUCUUUUGAGAUCAAGGCCAUGGAAAUAGUGAAGCUUGAGGUGAGCUUCAUCACCUCUCAUGGUGAAACCCUAAGUAGGGUUUUGAUUUGUCUAUGGAUGGUUCUAAUGGACUUUUUAGAGUAGAAUGAAGCUACUUUUGCUUCUCUUUGAGAUCAAACCCUAGGUUUGAUGAAUGCUAUGGAGCUAGGGCACCAAAUUGGGGCUUUUGCUCAUGGGGAUUUCUAAGUGCAAUUGACCCUCUAGAAACCUAAUUGGGGGUAUUUCCGACGCGUUGGUGCGCUCGGAUUAACGUUACGAAAAGUCUAUAGAAAGAUAUGGGCAAAAUGGCCUAAGUUGGCUUCGUUUUGUCGCAGGUGAAGAACGAGGAGCUUAUAAAUCUCAAGAAAAUCGUCGGAGCAUCUAAAUAGACCUACGAGGUGGGUGGUGCUUCUCAAACUCAUUGAACUUCUCUCUAUGCCUAAUGUGUCAUUCAUUUGAGCAUGUAUAUAUAUUGUUGCAUGCAUUUUAGGGUAAAGUAAUGAUGAAAAUGUAAUGAUGCAUGAUUGUGAGUACAACUUGCAUAAUAUGAUGAAUGAGAACUAUGUAAACGUCAAAAACCCUAUGUGUAUGCAUGAGAGAAAAAUGAGCACCCAAAGUGAGCAAAAGAACAGAGUGACACAAUGACAUAGAUCCAGUGGCAUUCCAUAAAGCUAAUGUGAAAUGACACUAGAGAUAGUGUGAGGUAAAGAACCAAUGAAAUGUAAAGAAUGAUGAAAAUGACAAUGCUUAAAGUUAAAGUAAUGUGGGAAGUAAAGAACAUGAAGUGCUAGAGGUAGCCAAAAAUAAAGAAUUGUAAAGAAUGUGUUCGCAUGAGUUUGCAACAAAAAGUGAUGAAAGAACACUAGAGCUAGUGUAAAGUCAAGAUUGAACUUAUAAAUCCUUUGAGUUAAGGAUAUGAUCAUACUUGCUAUGAGUUCCGUGCUCGAGGGCGGUCGCUCCCCCUCGGGCGAUGCGCUCCGGAGUUAUGCAUCACGGGUUGGAGUAAACCCGAAGGACGGUCCUAGCGGGUGAGUUCCUGCGAUGAUGGACUUAAUGUGAAGCAAGUUAAUGUGGCGAAACCCCCGGGUUAGCCUUGAGAUUAAAGAAUAAAGAAUAAAGAACAAAGAGCAAAGAACAAAGAACAAAGAGUAACGUGAAAAGAACAAAGAAUUUGCAUAAUCUGCAUUUAUUUAAUGUUGAGCAUAUUUCUGCUUUAUUGUUCAGGCAUAUUAGCAUCAUGUAUAGAUUGGUUACUAUAUGCAGCUUAUUCUUUCUAUUAUGCCUGAGUUAGUCCUAGUGGGAAAGUCGGUGAUGUUGAGGCCGAACCCACUGGGAACUUUGUUGUAGUUCUCACCCCACUAUUUCCACAGAGCCGGGACCGAGCGAGCCGGCGAGCGACCGCGGUAAAGGUAUCGCACCGUAGUCAGAGGCCACCGGAGUUGGGUUACAUUUUGAUAGUAGCUACCCUAUGUUCAUCUUUUGUAUUUGAUGACUAGUAAUGUAAAGAAAAGAAUGUAAAGCUUAUCUUGAGGUAAAUUGUGAUGUAAGAAAGAAAUGAUGAAAUUAUGUAAUAAAAUGCAAAGAAUCCUAAAUGUAAGAAAUGGAUGCAAUGUAUAUGAUCUAAAAUGAAUCAUAUUACUUGUGUAGAAGUUUAGUUUUCCUUUCUUUCACUAAUGGCUAUUGCUUACCCUCGUGUAAGCCGUUUGUGUAUGUUUCCGCUAAUGCAUUUCUUAUUUGAAUUUGUACAUGUGAUGAGCCUUGGGCGGAUAGGGAAAACUUUGUCCGUUCGGCGUCUGUUUGACGUGCUCGGGUCGGGCCAAAUUGGUAUCGCUCCCGGGGCGUGACACGGACCCUGGCUUCAGGAUCCGGACCCUGAGCCUGAAAAAUGCCCAGAAACAGCAGGGACUAAUUGGUAAUUGUGGGUGCUUUGCUUUAGAAAAGGGGCCAACUCCUCUCUUCUUCUUCCUCAGCCAAAAAGCACCACACACACACACCUUGGUAGAGAGAGGAGCUCCUCCCUCUCUCUAGAUUUCUCCUCCAUCUCUCUAGAUCUAUCUCUCAAACUCGGAGGCUUGGAGGAGAAGGAUCUUGCGAACGCCUGGGAGGUGAUGGUUCAAGCUUUCGUGCGGCCGUUUGAGCGGCAUGCUCCCGUCUCGGCGUUCGCAAAUUGGUAAGCUUUUGGGAUUUGGUUUAAUCCUUAAUGCUUGGUGGUUUAAUAGUCCCUAGUGUAGUUUUAGCAUGCUUUCCCCAUGAGAUUUGGGUUAUUGGAGUUGAUACUAAAGCUAGGGCUCCAAAAUGGGGUUUUGCUAAAUAGUUGGGUUUGAUCUAGUUUAACCCUAUAUAAACCUAAUUGCUAGGUAUACGAACGCGUUGGCGAAAUCAGUUCGGCGAUUCGUCGAGCCGGUGCAAAGAUAUUGAAGAAACAGGCGAUUCGACAUUCGUUUCCGGCUGGAGGGCCGAGGCGGCGUCCAUAAAUCGCGGGAUCGGAUUCCGAGUGUCGUAACAAGAAACCGAAGACCUUUAAUUUCUGGAUCGUGGAUCGGAAGUUGUUCGGUGGUCGCGCGUGAAUUAAGUCGAGUCGAGCGGCGUGCGCCGCGGGAGGCCGAUUGCGAGUGACCACGAGCAAUCGGAACGCUAUAAAAGGUGGGUGGUGACCAUCCCGAAGCAGUUGAACUGCUCCCUAUGUCUAAGUAUUGUGGUUGAUCAACUCGCAUAUUGAGCAUGAUGCAUUAUAGGGUGCUUGAUUAGUUUUACAUGUUCUUGCAUGCUAAAGGUAGUAUUGUAUUACUCGUUUAACACUUGGGCCUUGUAUGCAUGAGAUUGAGAUAUGUUGAUUAGUAACACUAUAAUGAGAUGAUAAAUGUGAACUUGAUCCUCGGUAGACGAAGACCUAGUGGGUGUGUAAUUAGUGUAAUAGGAACACUUAAAUAAGAACGAGUGGCAUUUGGACUAGUGUAACUAUUAUCCAUAAUAAGGUAUUAAAUAGUUGCAUUUCCAUUAAUUCUUACAUGAUCCUUAGUAGUGUAGCAACAUAAGUUUGGCACUUGACUUAGGAUGCAUGAGAAUAGGGGAAUUGUGACCUAGAACCCUAUAGUGGUAAAGUAAAUGACGAACUUAACCUUGUGUUAACGAGAACCAAAGAACGAGUGACAUAACGGGCCGCUCUAAUAAAUUCGGCCUUCAAAAGAUUUUCUAUUUCAUUCUUAAUUUGGAGUACAAUACUCGGCUCGAACUUACGAGCCGGUUGUUUAAAAGGCUUAAACCCUUUUUUAAUGGGCAGCCUAUGCUCUACAAUUUCUCGACUUAACCCAGGCAUUUCCUCAUAGCUCCAGGCGAAGCAGUCCUUGUACUCCUUCAAUAGUUCUUUCAGCUCUUUCUGCUGUCGAGCCGAAAGCUUUGCACUUAUAUAUGUCGAUCUCUUAUCUUCGUCGGAUCCCAAAUUUACUUCGAUCAGCGGGUCUUGGGUCUCCAACUUCUUCUCACCGACUUUAAUAGGCGAUUCUUCUAGAUCCAAUUCUUUUGCUUGCCUAUCUAUUUCGUGUGAUUUGUCGGUUUUGAUGACCGACUUCAUCUGACUUUCUUUCUCGGCCUUGUAAACCGAAUCUUUUAUAACUCCUUCGGCUUUAUUAGCCGAAUUGUCAUGCGUUACCACAUCGGCUAUGGCAGCCGAAUCAUUCUCAUAGCCGAUCUUGUUGAUCGGCUUAUCCUGUCGAGGCUCUUGACAAGCCUCUAUUCUCAAUUUUUUGGACUCCAUUUUAACCACCUAGGUGGCUUCUCAUCAGCCACCGUGCCAUUGACAUCUUUGAAGAGGAUUAAUUGAACCCCCUCUUCUGUUACUCUAACAAACGAAAUUUGAUCUGGAUCAGCAUCGGCCCAGUUGGUGUGGCCGAUGUCCUCCAUGUUGACAUCUAUCAUUUGAGGCCGUCCUUCGGCCCGGAUUUCUUCUACCUUGUCUCCUAUCCAUUGGAACAGUUUCCCGUGAAGUGUAGAGGGUACACACUCAUUUGAGUGUAUCCAAUCCCGUCCAAGUAAUAAAUUGUAGUGGGUAUCUGCAUCCACCAUAAAAAAUGCAGUUUUCAAAGUUUUUGAGCCUACCGUAAGUUCGGUGGUGAGUACUCCUCGAGCUUGUUGACCGUUUCCAGUGAAAUCGGUCAUGACUGAGUCGGUGGGCUUCAACUCGUCCUCAUCUUUGCCCAGCUUCUUGAAAAAAGAAGUAGGCAUUACAUUGACCAUGGCACCACCAUCUACCAUAACUCGGCCUACUGGCCGACCUUCAAUUAAGGCCUUUAUAAAAAGAGGCCUUAUGAAUCUCGUCUGCAUAGCCGAUGGUUUCUCAAAAACCACUGCAUCGGCUGGUUGAACAUCUUCCAAUUGCAACUGGGCUACUUUAAGCCUAUCUUCCUCCUCUUCUCUGAACUCUUCAUACUCGAUAAACUCUGCCUUAAAAGAUUGAGGCAGAGCAUAUACCAUAUUCACCUCAACUGGCGAUUCUUCGGCCGACUUUCCUUUAAUCCUCUGUUUCUUUUCUUCCGACUCCUUGGCCGUUUCGGCUGAAGAGUCACAUUCCAUCCGAACCUCCUUUUCCUUAGGGGGCCAUAUUUCUCUCUUGAUCAUCGUUUCGAGGGAAGCUAUUUUGUCUUCUAACUCCCUCCUGCUCAUUUUUUCUUCUGACUCAGCCUCGGUUGGCUGUUCUACCCUUGACUUCAUCCGAGGGGCAAGCAAUGAGCCGCCUGCGUCGUGGUCAUUUCUCAUUGGGUGAAAAUGGUGUGACUGCUCAUCAGGGCGCCUCCAUACAUUGAGCCUUAUCCCUUUCACUUCUUCGUAGUGUUGUCUUGCCUCGGCUUGCAUCCUCUGCUGCCGACGCUUUUGAGUUUUCGUUAACAUCGGCCCCUGCCACCUAGCCGAUGGUUUAACCUCAACUUCGUGCCAUUCAUCCACUGGCACAUUCGUCGUUACUUUUACCGUUCUCAAAUGAUUUUUCAAAAUUUCCCUUCUUUCCCAAGGUCUCGGCCAGGCUGUAUGCCGAGUUCCUUGACUAAUCUCCGACCGAGGAAUUCUAUGUCUCCCUCGGUCAUUCCCUCAAAUUCCGGUUCUGGUCUCGGCCUCAUUUGAUGCUGCCAAUGUGGCCGAUAUCCAGGAAUCCUUGGCUUGGUGCCGAAAGGUGUACCCUGGUAAUCCCAUUGGCUUUGACGCUCGCCAUGCCUGUUGUUGUAAUAAUCAUGUAGAAUCUUCUGAAUCAACAUGUCUUGUUUGCGUUGAACCGAUUUGACUUGCGGUUCAGUGUCAUUGGAGGCCUCAUCUGAGCCUUCUUCUUCUUGGUCUUCACCAUCAGGAAUGUUAUCCUACUCCUCGGGGAAUGCCAUCAACUCAUUCCACUCGUUGCCUCUUUUCUUAGCAUUGACAAUGGCUUCCCAAUCUUUCUUCGUCAUUUCGGCCUUGCAUCUUAUGCAAAGCCGAAGAUAUUUUUUGGCAUGUGCCACGUUGUCUGCGGUCUUCUGGUUUGCAGUCUCUUUGCCUUUAACAUUCACCAUGUUGACCUGAAAAGGAAAUGAACUUUCGUUAAUUACCUUAUUUUCAUUUUCUUGGUCGGCUAAUAUGAGCCGACCCUCAUCUAUUUCUUCUUGGAUCUGCCUUUUCGCAGUCGCUUUUCCUUUUCCUUUCACGUUCACGGCGUUGACCUGUGAUGGAAAAGGAUUCUUAUCAAUUUCCAUAUUUUUGUUUUCUUGGUCGGUAAAGAUGAGCCGACCUUCGUUUAUCUCUUUUUGUAUCUGCCUCUUAAAGGCAGUGCAUUCACUAGUUUUAUGGCUCUGCGAGUAGUGCCACUUACAAUAUCUUCUGCGUUUUAGUUCUUCUACCGGAGGUAUAGUUUGACCCUCCUGUAGUUUAAUUCAUCCAUCCUUUAGCAACCGAUCAAAAAUCAAAUCGGUAUUUGCUAUAUCAAACGAAUAACUAAAUGCAGACACAUGUGCUUUCGCCUCUCUUGAUUUGGCGGGUUUUAACAAAGCACAUUUGUACGGUUGAUUAUUUCUCACCAUCUCGGCAGCACAGACUUCGGCUUCAUCAGCCGAAUCCUUAUUCUCUUCAGACGAAUUCGGCUCUUCAUGAGCCGAAGACUCUUCAAAGAAAGAGAUAUUUUUCUCCUUUUCUUUGGUCGAAUCUUUGUUUCGGCUCAAUCUGGGCCGAUCUUCAUUGUAACCUUUUCGAAAUUGCUCAUAUUGAGCAACUCAAACUCCCAAAUCAAAAAGAUUUGAAAAGAAUUUAUCCUCAAAAUGAUCUUUAAUUUUAAAAUGCAUGCCGUUGAAUGCCAUUUUGGCAAAUUCCGAUUCCGGCAUUCUUACGAAACAACGGCUUCGAGCUGUUUUGAAUCGGUUCAAAUAUUUAUCAACCGAUUCUCUUGUUCUUUGUUUGAAUUGAGCCAAAUCCGCAACUGACAGCUCUGGCUCCGUUCUAUAAAACUGUUCAUGAAAUUUACCUUCUAACUCGUCCUAAUCUCGGACAGAGUUAGCAGGUAAACUCGUGUACCAAGUGAAAGCCGUCUUAGUCAAUGAGGUAUUAAAUAACCUCAAUUUUAAAAACGGAUCUGCUGCGGCCUCACGGCACUGAGCUGUAAACCAUGCGACGUGCUCGACCGUAUUUUCAGUCUCGUCGCCAUAAAACUUGUCAAACUUCGACAUCUUCUAAUUUGCCGGCUAUGGGUGUUCUACAUCUAUAUUUGCAGGGUAUGGUGACUUGAAUACGGGCCGCAUUGCCGGCCUUGCGCCUAUUCCGAAAGUAUUCCGGAUGGCUUCUUCUAUUUGCGCAUAAAUCUCGUUAUUAAUCCCCUGUAAAGGGGCUUGCGCUGGUGCUGGAUUCGGCGGUUGUGGAACUCCGAUGUUUUGUACCACUGGAUUAACCCCUUGUACAUUUGGAGCCUGCCCCCUCGCCCCUGCAUUUUGAGGCUGGUACACUGCUACCGGAGGGGGUGGAGGUAACCCCCAAGCCACUUCUGGCUGUUGACCGGCAUUAACGACAGCCGGUCUAUAAGCCACUUGAUACGGUGCCCACUGGUACUGGGGCUGACCAUUUACCGGUGUCACAGGAUUUUGUAACACUGAUGUUAUAAUAGGCGCUUGAAGGCCUGUUAUCGGCUAUUCGUUCCGAUUUACAACUGCCCUAUUCGGGCGAUGUUCUCGUUAGAGGCUGUAAUUGCGGCCAAGACGGCAUCCAGCCGUGCAGUACUCGCAUGACUGUUUUGGUCCAAAACUUGCAGGACCCGAGUCAUUUGCUGUAGCACACUGGACCUUUGCAAAUUGCGAGGUUCGAGUGUUCGAUAUGUAUUCCGAACGUUUCCACACUUGGUGGAGGGCCGUAGAUGGUAUGCCGGCUUAAAAGUUCGAUCUCUAGAGUUUUGGCAAGUCCUGAGAGUUUUCACUCUCGGGGACCGGUCCCUGAUAUGAGAGACCGGUCCCCUCAGCACAGUGCUGCGAUAGGGCUUGAGGCAACCGAUCCCUGGCUGUGAGAGACUGGUUCACGAACGCUAGUUUUGCGGGACGAGCCGAGAGGCCGGUCCCUAGCAGGGAGAGACCGGUCCCUCAGCGCGUGAGCGGCCCAGACCGGGCAGUGCACAGAGUGGAUUUUUGAGGGGCCUAAGUGGAUUUUGUUACCUUACAGGCUUUAGGCAGCCUCUCUUCCCCCUCUCACUCUCAUUUUCUCUCCCUCACACUCUCCCUACACUUCUAGAGAGAGAAAAGAAAGGAGAAGAAGGAGAAAGAGAUGAGAGGAGCUUGCUUGGAGGCCUUGGAGCACAAUCUUCUUCCUCAUUUCUCACCUUUGGAGGCUUGGAGCUUGCUUUUGGAGCUUUGUGGUGGAUCAAUCUUCAACCCUAGAAGAUUUUGAGCUUGGAUUGGAGCAUCCUAGAGGUAAGUGGCAAGGUUCCUUCCUCUAGAUCUUAGUUUUGGGGCUUUUUGCUUGUUUAAACCCUAGAUUUUGGAUUUUAGGGUUAGAUUUGGGGAUUCUUGAUUUGAGGCUUCUUGAUCUCAUUGGAAUGGUUUGGAACCUUUAUAUAGGUUAGAUUGGAAGACCUCUACCUCCCAUUUGAAGAUUAAGAGAGGGUUUUUCACUUGAGGUGAGUUUUUCCCAACCCUAGCUUGAGAUGGUUAAUGAUCAACCUUGUGGUUGUUCGUUACGUUUGUUUGACCCUUGUUCCUACAUCUCUAGGGUGCUAGGAGGCUAGUCGACACCUUCGUCGGAGCUUACGAAGGAUCGCGAGUGUUUUGGUGGGUUUGGCUUCUUGAACACGGGGCAAAAUGGCCCCUAUGCUUUCUAUACUCGUCGUAAAGUAUUUCUAAGUGCAAAUCCAUGCUAUUUAUGAUUUAUAAGAAUUUUAGAACACUUAACAUGCAUGCCUUAUAUAUCAUAAAAUUUUCACUCUAUAUAGUAGAGUUAUAUGUGUUGGUAGCAUGCAUGAGAGGAGUGGUUCUUGUUGCGAGUUGGGAACUCAUUAUGUAUAAUGGAAAUGACUAGAAUUAUGCAUUAUAAACAUAAUUAUCAUACUUAGACUUGUUGAACAAAAGUGUCAUAAAGAGGCAUUUGAAACUAGUAAACUAUGAAACUGCAACAUGAUUACAUAGAGAUAGGCCUAUGAGAUAUGUGAUAUAUUCCAUGUAUUACUCAUGAGGACUUGGUACUUGUGACGGAUCGUAUCCAUGCUUGCGAUUGUGCUCAUUCGCACAUGCUUGUGAGGGUCGCUCCCUACAAGCCGGCACUCCGGAGUUGGCCAUCGCGAUAUGUUCGCCGUGCGAGAUUGGGCGCCGAAGUGGAUUGCCGUGGGAAAGGCUCAUUCCUAGGGUAGGGAUGUUGACUACCAUGGGGCCAUUAUGCACGGUAAAGCCAGACAGCCUUCGGGUGUGUCUUAUGCCAGACAGCCUUCGGGUGGGUCUUAUCAGAGUUGAACUUUAAACAGUUAAAGUAAACAAUGACACCUUUACUAUUUACAUUGUGGGUAUUGGGUUAGUUGCAUACUUAUGCAUUUGCAUGUUGGAUACUCUUGUGCACAUACUUGUAGUAGUUGUCUUCUUACUUAUGCAAGCCAUGCUAAGUAGAGACAUCAUGGAUGGAUAGUAUUCAUAUUUAUUUCCUAGUUGUUUUAUCACUUUGGCUUAUACUUGUACACUGACCCCCUUUUUGUUGUAGUUGGGCCUAGUGGCGCAUUUCCUUGAAGUCAGUAAUUGCCCACUGGGAACUAUUAUUCAAUAGUUCUCACGCCCCUGUUUCUAUGUUUUCUUUUUCAGAGCCUUCGGCACCGGCGGAGGCGCGGGAUCGCGACAAAGGUGUCGUGUAGCCAGCUCGGGAGAGAGUUCGUUUUGCGAUAGGUGGUUACUCCUUCUUUUGUUUAUGUUAGAGAGAGGGAGAGUUUUGGCACCAUAUAUAGAGGGACCACCUUGUAUUCAGAUUUGUACUUGCUUUGGGACUCCUUUUGUAUUAUCUUAUGUUUUACUUAGCGAAUCAUCACUUUUAUGAUCUUCUUCUUGUUGUAGCAUUUCGUAGUUACCUUGCUCUGGUACUCCUAGAUGCCUUCUCGUGUUGUUUUAUUUACUGCUUUAUUUUAGACGCCUUGUAUGUUUUAGACGUACGGCGGGUCUGGACACGCGCCGGGCGGGCUUCAGUGGGUCCCGGGGCGUAACAGAUUAGUUUGGUAUCAGAGACCUAGGGUUAAGUCUUAGUGGACCUAGCAAACCUUAGGCCGGUUGGACUAUAGGAAAUAGGCUCGUGAGAGACGAGGUCUACUUGACUUGUAAGCGAAAGUAUCUCAAUUGGGUAUUUUGGAUAACUCUAGAAAGUAGAGUUAAAUCGGAGUGUAUAGCUCCUAACUUCGCGGAGGGUUACGUUGGCGGCCGACAACGUAACAUCGGGAGUUAGUAGUGAAGCACACUUUCUUACUUUCGCCUAAUUUGGGUAUUAUCUUUGAGCGGGGAUGCGAUAGCGUGGGUUUUUGCUAACUUACGCUUUUAUGAUGUUGUAGUGCGAUGCCGAUCACACGCUCCCAAUCUGCCGGGGCGGAUAAUGCGGCAAACUUUGAGGAGGUCGAGACCUCCGCUACCUCCGGAUCGAGCGAGGUCCGUGAGUUGAGGGGCCAGAUUGCGGCCCUCACUGAUUUAGUCACUCAGCAGGCGGAGGCAGCCCGACAGCAGACUGAAGCGGCGCGCCGACAGGAGGCGCGGAUGAAGCGCCUGGAGGACCUUUUACUGCAGCAGGCAGCAGCUUCUAGGGAGACUCAGGCCCCUACGCCGCCAGCACCAGUUGUGGACGUUGCUCCGAGAGCGCCAUCCCCCGCGCCCAGUUCUUCGCGUGCGGCGCCUGUGGCCGCGCCUCAGGGCGAGGGUUUGGUGGCACCCCCUGUUCAAGCGCCCCCGAUCGGAGCUGUUUUUCCCGUAUUAGCCGAGGGAGCAGAGCGGGACAGACUGAUGGAACGCCUUAAUGAGUUCAGGAGGUGCAGCCCCAGGAUUUUCGAUGGCGAGAAGGUCGACCACUGGAUCGUGGAAAAGUGGUUGAUGCACAUGGAGAAGCUCUUCCGCGACACCUUCGUGGAGGGAUCGAGUUUGGCUCGCCACACACCAUUUGGACGGCGAGGCCUACCGCUGGUGGUUGGAUCUCCAGGAGAACCCCAGCACUGAUUUGGCAGCUAUCACAUGGAAGAAGUUCAAGGAGCUUCUUUUGGCGCAUUACUUCCCGACUAGCGUCAAUCGGAAGAUGGAGCAGGAUCUGCGCAACUUGCGCCAAGGUGAUCGGACUGUAGCCGAGUACGAGCGGGAGUUUUCUCGGCUUCUUCACUGCGUGCCCUUCGUCGUGCGGGACGACGAGGAUAAGGCCCUCAUUUUCGAGCGAGGGUUGCGACUGUCGAUCUUCCGGUUUGUGCAAUCCUCUAACCUCCAAACCUACCGGAAGGUGGUGGAUCGCUCGCUCAUAGUGGAGAGCGGCGCAACAGAGGUCCAGGAGCGACGAGAGGCCAUGGACAAAGGCAAGGCCAAGAGGCCUGCGGCUGAGGGUGCGAGCCAGACGCACUCUAGGAGGCCGUCGAAGCAUCCUAGGAGCCAGCAGCAUGGACGCGGCUCAGAAGCACAGCGAGGAGGAUCUGACCGACGCCGGCCCUCCUCGUGUCUGAUCUAUGGUGGUCAUCAUCACCCACCGCAGUGCCCACAGCGGGUGGGUAGGUGCUUCCAGUGUGGCCAGGAGGGCCACGUGCGAACUGAGUGCCCGAGAGGUCCUUCACCGGCACCGUCGACUGCAUCGGCACUGGCUCUACCAGCCGCCAGCCACGGGACUCUGUCGACACAAUACCAGCCUGGGCGGCCACCCGUCCAGCGGCAGAGCGAGGGUUUUCGGCAGGCCCCGAGUGGGCGCAUGUAUGCCGCUCAGACUGAGGAGGCGGCAGCAGCCGAGGAUGUGGUUGCAGGUAUCAUUUUACUUGAUGGCAUUAGAGUUCCUGCUUUAUUUGAUAUCGGUGCAUCACAUUCAUUCAUAGAUCGGCUGUUUGCCGAGUUGCAUGGCAUUCCUUUGGUUUCUUUGUUGCAUCCGGGAUAUGUUGUAGUACCCGACUACACUCUGGAUAUUAGAGAGUAUUGCCCUAGUUGCCCUGUUCAGGUAGGAGAUUGAAUUAUGCCCGUAGAUUUACUAGCCCUGCGCAAGCUAGGGGAUUUCGAUGUGGUCUUGGGUAUGGAUUGGCUAACUAAGUAUUAUGCCACAAUAGAUUGCAAGAAUCGCACGGUUACCUUUAGAGAACCGGGGCAGAUUGAGGUUGUGUUUAGAGGAUGCCGGAGUUCGCUUUUCGCGAUGUCGAUCAGCUCGUCUCGAGCUAGGCAGCUGAUCAGCCGAGGAUGUGUAGCCUACUUGGCUAGUGUUGUGAUGAGGGGCGAGGAUGACACCUCUAGGAUCGAGGAUAUUCCGGUGGUGCGGGAGUUCCAGGAUGUGUUUCCAGCUGAGCUUCCGGGCAUGCCUCCUGAUAGGGAGAUUGAGUUUGUGGUAGAUCUCGUCCCUGAGACUACCCCAAUCUCGAAGGCACCCUAUAGGAUGGCACCGGCGGAACUGAAGGAGCUGAGGGCACAACUACAGGAUCUGUUGCACAAGGGCUUCAUUCGACCAAGCGUCUCGCCGUGGGGAGCGCCAGUUCUAUUCGUCAAAAAAAAGGACGGAUCACUUCGCCUAUGUGUGGACUAUCCUGAGCUCAAUAACGUCACGAUCAAGAACAAGUAUCCGUUGCCGAGGAUUGACGACUUGUUUGAUCAGCUUCAAGGAUCGAGUAUGUAUUCGAAGAUAGACUUGCAGUCGGGAUACCACCAGUUAAAGAUCAAACCCGAGGAUGUAUCGAAAACAGCUUUUAGAACACGGUAUGGACACUAUGAGUUCACAGUGAUGCCGUUUGGGCUUACUAAUGCCCCGGCAGCUUUUAUGGAUUUCAUGAACCGUGUUUUCAAGCCAUAUCUGGACAGGUUUGUCAUGGUGUUCAUCGACGACAUUUUGGUUUACUUCCGAAGUGAUGCGGAUCACGAGGAGCAUUUGAGACUUGUACUUCAAAUACUUCGGGAAAAUAAGCUUUAUGCCAAGCUGAAAAAGUGCGAAUUUUGGCUUCGAGAGGUAGCCUUCCUUGGACAUUUGAUAUCGAGAUCGGGUAUAGCCGUGGAUCCUAAGAAGAUUGAAGCAAUCAAGGAUUGGCCGAGACCGACGAGCGUCAUGGUGUAGCACACUGGACCUUUGCAAAUUGCGAGGUUCGAGUGUUCGAUUUGUAUUCCGAACUUUUCCACACUUGGUGGAGGGCCGUCGAUGGUAUACCGGCCUAAAAGUUCGAUCUCGAGAGUUUUGGCAGAGUCCUGAGAGUUUUUACUCUCGGGGACCGGUCCCUGAUAGGAGAGACCGGUCCCCCAGUGAACAGUGCUGCGCAGCCGGCGAGGCAACCGGUCCCUGGCAGUCGAGACCGGUCCCCGAGCGCGUCUGCGCGGGGAGAGACCGGUCCCGCGCAGGGAGAGACCGGUUCCCGAACGUUGGAUUUUCGGGGGCAGGCUGAGAGACCGGUCCCAGGUCGGGGAGACCGGUCCCUCUGGGCGAAAACUGCCCAGAC